AGAGUUUUGAUCCUGGCUCAGAAUGAACGCUGGCGGCGUGCUUAACACAUGCAAGUCGAACGAGAAAGGGAUUGCUUGCAAUCCUGAGUAGAGUGGCGCACGGGUGAGUAACACGUAGAUAAUCUACCUUCGAUUUUGGGAUAACCAUCCGAAAGGAUGGCUAAUACCGGAUAAGGUUUUAAUACGCAAGUAUAAAGAUGAAAGUAUGCCUCUUCUUGAAAGCAUAUGAUUGGAGAUGAGUCUGCGGAACAUUAGCUUGUUGGUGGGGUAAAAGCCUACCAAGGCAAAGAUGUUUAGCUGGUCUGAGAGGAUGAUCAGCCACACUGGAACUGAGAUACGGUCCAGACUCCUACGGGAGGCAGCAGUGGGGAAUAUUGGACAAUGGGCGAAAGCCUGAUCCAGCAAUGCCGCGUGAGUGAAGAAGGCCUUCGGGUUGUAAAGCACUUUCAGUAGGGAAGAAAUGCCUGGAGUUAAUAGCUUCGGGUCUUGACGUCACCUACAGAAGAAGCACCGGCUAACUCCGUGCCAGCAGCCGCGGUAAUACGGAGGGUGCGAGCGUUAAUCGGAAUUACUGGGCGUAAAGCGCGCGUAGGCGGCUUGGUCAGUCGGAUGUGAAAGCCCCGGGCUUAACCUGGGAAUUGCAUUCGAUACUGCCGAGCUAGAGUAUGGGAGAGGGAAGUGGAAUUUCCGGUGUAGCGGUGAAAUGCGUAGAUAUCGGAAGGAACACCAGUGGCGAAGGCGGCUUCCUGGCCCAAUACUGACGCUCAGGUGCGAAAGCGUGGGGAGCAAACAGGAUUAGAUACCCUGGUAGUCCACGCCGUAAACGAUGAGAACUAGAUGUCGGGAGGGUUUACCUUUCGGUGUCGUAGCUAACGCGUUAAGUUCUCCGCCUGGGGAGUACGGCCGCAAGGGUUAAAACUCAAAUGAAUUGACGGGGGCCCGCACAAGCGGUGGAGCAUGUGGUUUAAUUCGAUGCAACGCGAAAAACCUUACCUACUCUUGACAUCCUCGGAACUUGUCAGAAAUGACUUGGUGCCUUCGGGAACUCGGUGACAGGUGCUGCAUGGCUGUCGUCAGCUCGUGUCGUGAGAUGUUGGGUUAAGUCCCGCAACGGGCGCAACCCCUAUCCUUAUUUGCCAUCAUUAAGUUGGGCACUAUAAGGAGACUGCCGGUGUUAAACUGGAGGAAGGUGGGGACGACGUCAAGUCAUCAUGGCCCUUAUGCCCAGGGCUACACACGUGCUACAAUGGAUGAUACAGAGGGUUGCCAACUCGCGAGAGGGAGCUAAUCUCAGAAAGUCAUCCUUAGUUCGGAUUGGAGUCUGCAAUUCGACUCCAUGAAGCCGGAAUCGCUAGUAAUCGCGGAUCAGCAUGCCGCGGUGAAUACGUUCUCGGGCCUUGUACACACCGCCCGUCACGCCACGAAAGUUGGCUGCACCAGAAGUCGUUGAGCUAACCCGCAAGGGGGGUAGGCACCUAAGGUAUGGCUGAUUG
rnacentral:rRNA from 1 species